CAUUUCUUGACUUCCUGUGUAUACCUCAUUCCAGGAAAGAACUCACAAUAGGAAGGAACUCUUGACCUCUCAGGGUUGUGGUAGUGAGGAUCAAUUCUUCAAGGACAAGGACUUGGACUUUCAUUGUUGUGCCCUUAAAAGCUUAUCACAGUGCCUGAUACUUAGUGGAUUCUCAAUAAGUAUUCCUUAGCCAGUAAGUCUUCAGCAUUUAACAGGAAAAUCAUGAGGCCCAUUGUGUGGAAUGACUGCUAGCUAGAGUAACAGUGAGGAGAAAAACCUAUUGUAAAAUGAUUGUUUGAGGCUCUUUUUUUCCUCCCCACAAAGGGAUUUGCUUCCUAAGGAGAAGAACUUGGAAACUCUGUUGACCUUGGCUUUUCUAGAAAUAGAUAAAGCCUUUUCGAGUCAUGCCCGCCUGUCUGCUGAUGCAACUCUUCUGACCUCUGGGACUACUGCAACAGUAGCCCUAUUGCGAGAUGGUAUUGAACUGGUUGUAGCCAGUGUUGGGGACAGCCGGGCUAUUUUGUGUAGAAAAGGAAAACCCAUGAAGCUGACCAUUGACCAUACUCCAGAAAGAAAAGAUGA
rnacentral:sRNA from 1 species